rnacentral:rRNA from 1 species
GAUUUCUGGUACGGCGCGCUUGGCCCGCCAGGGUUACCUGGUUGUGUGCUGGUGCGCGCCUGCCAUCCUUUUGCAUUUCAGUUCUAUCCUUUACUGGUGUGAACUGGUUUGCAAAUCUUUUACUUUGAAAAAAUUAGAGUGUUUAAAGCAGGCUUACGCUGUGAAUACAUUAGCAUGGAAUAAUAAUUUAGGACUUCGGUCUCUAUUUUGUUGGUUUCUAGAGCUGAAGUAAUGAUUGAUAGGGAUAGUUGGGGGUGCUAGUAUUCAUCGGCCAGAGGUGAAAUUCUUGGAUUCGAUGAAGACUAACUUAUGCGAAAGCAUU